GACAAAUCAACCACACUGGAUGGAUUACUAUAUCAUUUUUCUAAGGGAAUAUACUUUGACAGGUGACUAUCACCCAGACGAGGACUCUACAUGGCUGCCCUUCCCUGCAGCCUACUGUAACCCAUCUCUACCGAACAGGGAAGGAACAUUGAAGAGUUUAAGAACAACAAUCAAUAAAAACAUAAAUAUAAACAUAACAUAAAUAAAUAAACAAUGAUCAUCUAUGCUGUGAAAUUAUAGAAUGAAAGGAGGAUCUCAUAAAAGAGGCAGCUUUUAUUCCCCCAGACUUAGUGAGAGAUAUGUGGAGCUUUAAGGGAUAAUAUCCACUCUGACACUGCUGAUGUCAUUGUCAAACUUGCCUGCCUCUGCUCCUCCAACUCACACAAACAUAUACCCACCACACACACACACACACACACACACACACACACACACGCACACACACACACACACACACACACACACACACACACACACACACACACACACACACACACACACACACACACACACACACAUCCCUCCAGCCUUCUGUUCUUACCUCUCUCCCUCCUCUUCUACUCUGUGCCCCUGGCUUUACAGACGAGCUCUGGAUUAAUUAACCAAUUAGAAGUGGAGCCCCUGGGAGGCGUUUGAGGGUCCAAUCCCCUUGUUGUCAUUAGACACACAUACAUGGCCUCAAUUAGGCAGUGCUGUGAUAGGUCUCAUUGACUGGAAGAUGCAUCUCCAGGAGCAGUGUUUGUCUCCCCCCUUGAGUGACUGAGUAGCUCGAUUCAAUUAUAUCGGAAUCCCCAUAUUGAAGAUUUUGAGCAUCACUGUCUUUUCUCUUCUAUGUUGUCUUUCUUUCUGCAGAGAUCAAUGUCCUCUCCGUAGCUCUAAGCAACAGGCAUGUCAACUUUGUGUCUGUAAAUUUACAGAAAGUCUGUCUCACACUGAGCCCAUGCAUUGUUAUUGGUCAGGAACACAGAGGGAGAAUAAUGACUAAAUGAAAGGAUAAAAGGAAGAAUCUAUAUCCUACCAUGUUCAUAUGUUUGUAAGGUUCUUUCCCACCUUCUUAACUUGACUGACAGGGGCUGGAUACUUGAGGACUGAGUGUACACUACAGUAUGCUGUGUGUCAGCACUGAUUGGCCUUAUUAGGACAACACCGCAGACGGCCACAGACACAGCAGGGGAGUGUUGAUGCUGCUAGAGACAAGACAAGACAAGUUCACCACUUCUCAUCAUUUACUCAUUUGUCUUUUCACUUGGCCAGCAAUCACAGCUGAUCUCUACAGUAUGUAACCAUAACGGCUAAAUGACAGCCUAACCUUUUGGUCACCAGGGGACACUAAUGCAAGACUCUCAGUUUGUUUUGCUAGCAUACUGAGCCCCACAAAAUGUUUAGUAUGUUGUAAUGAGGCUCCAGUGGGCUGGUUAAUGUUUUCAUACAUAAUGUUGAGGCCUACAAAAAUGAGUCAUAAUAAGCUAAUCUUCUCAAAGUUGAAAGCCUGUCUUCACUUUGCAUGUUGCUAUGGCCCAGCCCCCAUGCCACAACAAAAAAAAUGAAAGGACAUGACAGUGAAAGAUUAAACUGAGAUAUUACAAAAUAAACAAAAAAGCAAACUG
ensembl:lncRNA